rnacentral:lncRNA from 1 species
UUGAAGUAUAAAUAUCAACAAAUUUAUUAUUCUUAUUACAAAUGAAAGCAAAAUUAGAUUGAAAUAGAUUUGUUACAGCAUAAAGCAAAAUAAUUUAAAAAUUAUACAGAAAAAUUACAUCUAAGUUAGAGACAACAUCAAGUGUCUCAACUUCAAAUUUAACACAACAAUGAACCUAAAUUAAAUCUCCCUCCAAGAGAUAAAAGAGAGGCACAUCCCUCUCGUCAAUGUUAAUCCCCAUUGAGUUCUCAACUUGUAGGAGAAGAAAAAGGAUAGACGAAGCUUAUGUUUUUUUUUUUUUGAACGGCUAAAUUUUAUUAAAAAUGUAACUGAGCCCAAGACGAGCUCGGUACAUGCAAGUACAACACAAAGGAAAACAUAAACCGUCAUUAACACCUAAAUCCACCAUACCAAUUACAUCUCUUAAAAAACCCGAACAAAUGGCGAAAAGAACCACAUACCAACACCCUAGCAAACUUACCCCGCAUAAAACCUCGCUACAUCAGUCAAACCGAAACGACAACCCCUAAGCCAACAAAGAGUUGCUGCACCAAACACCAACACCUUUGAAGGACCCAAAUCACAAGCACCACUAGUCAAGCCAAACCCAUCGGGAUAUCAAAACCACACCUGCGCAAAAGAGAAAAAUACAGAGCAGCCAACAAUCACAUCCAACAAUCACAGGGAACAAUUAGAUCUAGACAAAACACACAAAGACAUCUUCUUUUUAACUGCCACGUGUUCUCGACACCAAACGCCUCCACAACAACACCUCUGGCCA